UACGAAGGGGCUAGCGUUGCUCGGAUUGACUGGGCGUAAAGGGCGCGUAGGCGGUUUGUACAGUCAGACGUGAAAUUCCUGGGCUCAACCUGGGGGCUGCGUUUGAUACGUAUGGACUUGAGUUCGGAAGAGGGUCGUGGAAUUCCCAGUGUAGAGGUGAAAUUCGUAGAUAUUGGGAAGAACACCGGUGGCGAAGGCGGCGACCUGGUCCGAUACUGACGCUGAGGCGCGAAAGCGUGGGGAGCAAACAGG
rnacentral:rRNA from 1 species